GUGGGGAAUAUUGGACAAUGGGCGCAAGCCUGAUCCAGCCAUGCCGCGUGAGUGAUGAAGGCCUUAGGGUUGUAAAGCUCUUUCGCCGGGGACGAUGAUGACGGUACCCGGAGAAGAAGCCCCGGCUAACUUCGUGCCAGCAGCCGCGGUAAUACGAAGGGGGCUAGCGUUGUUCGGAAUUACUGGGCGUAAAGCGCGCGUAGGCGGUCAGCCAAGUCAGGGGUGAAAGCCCGGGGCUCAGCCUCUGAACUACCAUUGAGACUGGUUGACAUGAGUAUGGAAGAGGGUCGUGGAAUUCCCAGUGUAGAGGUGAAAUUCGUAGAUAUUCGGAAGAACACCAGUGGCGAAGGCGACACACUGGCCCGUUACUGACGCUGAGGCGCGAAAGCGUGGGGAGCAAACAGGAUUAGAAACCCUAGUAGUCC
rnacentral:rRNA from 1 species